UUAACUCAAAUUUGUAUGGAGUUGGAACGUUUGCCUACGUUUGCCGCUAGGGGCGCUGUUCCAUACAAAUUUGAGUUU
rfam:Bombyx mori DNA, contig: Bm_scaf73_contig31425, strain: p50T/Dazao, build 2, whole genome shotgun sequence.